AACACAUGCAAGUCGAACGGGCGUAGCAAUACGUCAGUGGCAGACGGGUGAGUAACACGUGGGAACGUACCUCUUGGUUCGGAACAACACAGGGAAACUUGUGCUAAUACCGGAUAAGCCCUUACGGGGAAAGAUUUAUCGCCGAGAGAUCGGCCCGCGUCUGAUUAGCUAGUUGGUAGGGUAAUGGCCUACCAAGGCGACGAUCAGUAGCUGGUCUGAGAGGAUGAUCAGCCACAUUGGGACUGAGACACGGCCCAAACUCCUACGGGAGGCAGCAGUGGGGAAUAUUGGACAAUGGGGGCAACCCUGAUCCAGCCAUGCCGCGUGAGUGAUGAAGGCCCUAGGGUUGUAAAGCUCUUUUGUGCGGGAAGAUAAUGACGGUACCGCAAGAAUAAGCCCCGGCUAACUUCGUGCCAGCCGCCGCGGUAAUAA
rnacentral:rRNA from 1 species